rnacentral:rRNA from 1 species
AGCGUUGUCCGGAUUUACUGGGCGUAAAGAGCGCGUAGGCGGUUGGCCAAGUCCGAUGUGAAAGCUUCCGGCUUAACUGGAAAAUUGCAUCGGAAACUGGUCGGCUUGAAGGUGGGAGAGGGUAGCGGAAUUCCUGGUGUAGCGGUGAAAUGCGCAGAUAUCGGGAGGAACACCAGUAGCGAAGGCGGCUCGCUGGGCCAUUCCUGACGCUGAGACGCGAAAGCUAGGGGAGCGAACAGG